GACCACUGUAUUUUACUUUUAUCAUUAAAAAAGUUGUGUCAUGAUCAAAUUUUGGUACACAUAUGAAUAAAUUUAUACUAUAGAAGUGCUCUUCAAAAAUUGGUGUUAAAUUAUUUUCAUUUUGACAAUAUUUAUUACAAAUCACAUUUUAUAAACACUAGAUAAAUUACAUACAAAAGCUAGACACAAAUAUAUAGAAGUAAAAAGCAGUACUAUUGACACAAGAGAAAUAAGCUAAUAUAAUGUCAAAUAUCUAUAACUUAAUAAAAUUACUAAGUUUUCAUUGCUAAUACAUUUGCAUGAAUUCAAAAGCCAUUCAGAAGUAAAAUGUAUAAUACUAAUUAUAAUCAAGGUUUAAGGUGAUAGAAACAACAACCAUAGUACUACUUAUUUUUUAAAAUCUUUUCAAACAUUCAGAAACAAGAACUGUCCUAAAAGACAAGUUAAAUCUGGGUAAAAGCUCUUACCUAACUGAAGAGUAUAAAAUUUUAGGCUUUGGUUAAUAGACACUAAAAUUUAGUGGAAAUUUUUAAAUUAACAUCUGCCUUAUAUGUAAUAUUCCUGAGUUUUUGCUAAAAUACCAUAGAUAAAGAACUCAGUCUACAGCAUUGCAUAACAUUGUACUAUAUUUUUGGAAGACAAAAAGUAUUAUGAUUUUUAAAACUGUGAAUAAUGAGAUUUAAUAAUAUAAUUAUGAUCAGAAAGAAUAUGCUUAAUUUAGCUUACCUAUGAGAAAAAUUAAUGCCCUCUGACCACUAUUUGGCAAAGCUAAUUUGUAAAUUAUGAUCAAAAUUAUAUUAAAUC
rnacentral:lncRNA from 1 species